GAAAUAAUAACUAAAGAUAAGCUUCUAACUUAAUCUUAAAGCGUUGAAACACGUUUUUAUUUCA
rnacentral:tRNA from 1 species